GGGGCUAUAGCUCAGCUGGUAGAGCGCUUGCAUGGCAUGCAAGAGGUCGGCGGUUCGAUCCCGCUUAGCUCCA
rnacentral:tRNA from 1 species